rnacentral:rRNA from 1 species
GGGAAUAUUGCACAAUGGGCGGAAGCCUGAUGCAGCGACGCCGCGUGAGGGAUGACGGCCUUCGGGUUGUAAACCUCUUUCAGCAGGGACGAAGCGUAAGUGACGGUACCUGCAGAAGAAGCACCGGCUAACUAUGUGCCAGCAGCCGCGGUAAUACGUAGGGUGCGAGCGUUGUCCGGAAUUACUGGGCGUAAAGAGCUCGUAGGCGGUUUGUCACGUCGUCUGUGAAAUCCUAGGGCUUAACCCUGGACGUGCAGGCGAUACGGGCUGACUUGAGUACUACAGGGGAGACUGGAAUUUCUGGUGUAGCGGUGGAAUGCACAGAUAUCAGGAAGAACACCGAUGGCGAAGGCAGGUCUCUGGGUAGUAACUGACGCUGAGGAGCGAAAGCAUGGGUAGCGAAC